AUGAACUUAGCCGUUUGGGAUUAAAUAUUAUUAAAAAACCGGAAAAUUCUGAAUAUGCCAGUUAUGUAUCGAGAUUAAACUCAUUCACAACAUGGCCUAUGUAUAUGAGACAGACAAAGGAAGAAUUGGCCGAUGCUGGUUUCUACUACAUCGCAAUCGAUGAUUUCACUACCUGUUACCAAUGUGGAAUUAAUAUAGGGUGUAGAGGCGCAUGCGUAUGUGUGUUAUGUUAUCGGUGAUAGUAGUAGUUGCCGGCUGUAGAUGUGCUGCUGGGGCACUGCUAAUUAUUCUUUUAUUUUGAUGCGUGGAAGAAAAGUAGGAUCACGGGCGUCUGGAAUCGAACGAGGAUCCUGAACGUUCGAAACCUAAAGCGCUAACCACUUCGCUACCGUGUCUGUUGCUUAGUUAGUGUCGUGUAGCUAUAUUUGUUGUCGAGUGCCGCUACAAUACCCCCUUACCAGAGAUAACGUCAUAACCUUAGAGUGCGGUAAAACGUCAGCUGAUUGUUGUUAAGAGCCCGUAUGGAUGUUGCGCGAUGUCUUCGAUGUUGCGGUGGAUCCUGUCGGUACGGUGCGUGCGGUUGUAGGUCUUUGUUCCUCCCAGUAGUCGUCAUGUGCCCAGUCACCUGCUUUUUGCGCGCCGAUUGGAGGUGAGGUGUCCAGGAGGUUUUACUGAAGGAAGGGCCGCUCCGUGUUCGUCGUAGCGGAGAAGGUCCACCUUGUCACAGACUUAGAUUCGCGAUGAUGGAAGGCUCGGUAGUGCUAUCACGGUCACACCUCUGUUUCGCUGUCGAUCACGUCGGGGUCACCAAUGUAGAGGAUAAGUUGGUUUGGAGUAUUAGAUAAUAACGAAGCAGAUUACAUGUAACCGAUCGUCACGUAUAUUUAAAAGUAAUAAAUAAAGUAAUAAAUAAGUAAAAUAAUAAAUAAUUCGCAACUAAUCGCCUUAAUCACUUUAACCAUCAAUGUCGCAAUGCGAUCGCGUCCGUGUAUUUAUAUUAGUUGCGGGAGAGCCGAGGAGAGAGAGAGAGAGAGAAAGAGAACAUUUGAAUUCGCCAUUGUUCGACGGUUGCGCGUAGCGGUGACAUUGUUUUUGCCCGGAGUUUAUUUGUUUUUACAUAACGUAUAAUUUAACGGUUUGACAAACCGAGGCAAAAUCACAACCUGAUUCAAAAUGUCCGUUGACUCGUGUGUCGCUACAUUGGAGAGCAGAAGAAGAUCCAUGGAAACGGCAUGCAAUAUCGUCUCCCAGCUGUUGUUAUUUAUUAACAGUACGGGGCAGGGAAUAUGUUAAUAAUGUAACAGGCCAGGAGUUAUAUGAAGUUUCUGCUGAAGCAUCAACACAAAUUACUGAUAAGAAUCCUGAGAGAUCCAAUAGUGAAAAUGAUACUAAUGAAACGACUCUCCUUCAGGAACUUGCUGCUGCAAAGGAAAAAAGUCGAACAUUGAAAAAUGCUCGUUUGUGUAAAGCUUGCGCGGAACGAGAAGUCACAGUUGUAUUCCUACCUUGUGGACAUGCAGCAACCUGCGAUUACUGUUCACAAGCUUUCUCACAAUGCAUAAUUUGCCAAGGAGAAAUUAAAGCCACUAGCUGUAUCUUUUUGACGUAAUGCAUGCACAUAUGUAUAUAUAAUUAUGUACAUAUAUAAAUUAGCUUAUCCAUAUUUCUCAUAUAAAUAUACUUUACAAUUUUUAAAAAUUGACGUACACACAUUAAAAUUUGUGAUACCAUGUAUCGUUAAAUUAAGUGUAUAUAUCAUGAAAUGAUAAAAUAUUUUAUUUCUAGUACUAUUUCUACAGUAAUUAAUAAAUAGAAACAUAAUAUUAAACUGAUGAAAUACAUUUUUUCUUUAUAUUUUUGGCUUUUUUUGUAUUUUAAGUGUAUUUUACUUAAUUAAACAUUAAUAAUAAUUAUGUAUCUUAUUUUAUCCGAAUAAAGUUAACUUUUCCCGCAUCUAA
rnacentral:lncRNA from 1 species